rnacentral:ncRNA from 2 species
CUUUCCGAGGAGCGUUGCAGCGGCGCCUCGCCGCCAGGCUCGGAUGGGACAACGACGCUCGUGAAGC